GCGGAAGUGGUGGAACAGGUAGACACACCAUCUUGAGGGGGUGGCGCCGUAAGGUAUGGGGGUUCAAAUCCCCCCUUCCGCA
rnacentral:tRNA from 1 species